UUUCCUGUGGCUUCUUGCUGCUUUAGAGGACUCAGGCCAAUUGGCCAGCCUUAUGGUUUCUUCCGAAUUGAACUGCCAUUGCUGAUUUGUGUGUGUUGUCUGCCGAGUGGACUGGACUGCAGCUGCUGAUUCAAAAGACAAGCAAGCAAACCGGCUUUCUGCAAACUGCCUGACCUGGUGCCCUGCUCUGGCCACUGCCCUCACAUCGCCCACCUUGCUCUCCUGCAUCCAGCUUUUCAAGUGGAGCACUUCUUUUUCCAAGUUCUUCUGGUCCUUGAGCAGGUGUCCACACUUCUUCUGUUCUGUUUUUAUCGCUAUUAGCUCCUGCUCAAUAAACUGAAGUUUUACAA